GGUGGUAGUGGGACUGAUAUCGAAGAAGGAGAUGAAAUUUUAUUAAUAGACAGAAGUUUGAACUGAUAUUGACAUGUGACGUUUAUCAGUAUUCUCAUGAUGGAGUCGAGUAUUUUUGCGGAUUCUUCCAGUUUUUCAAAAUUAUAAUACUCAGCAGCCGAGAAUUUUGGGGGAUUGUUCCAGUUAUCUAAAAUUAUAAUAAUCGGCAGCUCAAGAAGUCCUAUACGAAAUCGUGAGAAAAGUGUUCUUCUACCUUAUAUUCGAUAUUUUAUUAUUUGUAAUAAUAUAGUUGUACUAUAGAUACGAUUUUAUGAACCGAUAGUGUUACGAUACCUUGGCCACGAAAAGUUGAUUCCCCGACAUAAAUUUUCGCAUAAAAUGCACAUUAUAGUUUUAUGUAGACGCAUAUUUCCCUGGACAUACCUAAACUACAUACAGUGACUGUAUAUAAGGAAACCGACUUUUAAGUUGGUAUACAUAUUGGUACUAGAAACGCCAAGAAGCUCGAAAAAAAUGUCUUCAACAAGCAGUCUCCUCCUUCUCUUGGCUUCAGUAAUUGUAAUGUCAGGAUUUUUCGUGGCACCUGCUGAAGCACGUCACUUGAAAUGCUCGAUACCGUGCGACCAUCUCAUGGCGAAGUAUAUAUGUCAGAGAAUAUGUACAUAGGGGCAUUUGAUCUGAAAUUGGCAACCGUGUGCGAUACCUAAUGGAAAUCGGAUUAUAAACUUGGGUUAUGGAGGUUUAUUCCUAUAUUAAUGAAAGUUAGCAAACAAUAAAACAUUCUGCAUUAUGAAUAAAUUACUGUUACUCUUCA